CGGUCUACUAGGCUCUCUGUCCAAAUCUUCAGUACUUUAUCCUCAAGUAAUUUGCUGGAAUUUGUGGCAAGGGUGCGUCUCCCUCCCAGUAAGAAGCGUCGACGAGCUACUUCAAUGAUCCGAGAAGGAUAAGCAGCCGCGAUGUCAAAGGGCUAGCUAUGUUUUCCUUUCACCUAUGCUACAGCGAUAUUGAGCGGUGGGGAUUCUGUACAGAGUUGAGAUGGGAAACUGACUCAGUGAGGAUGGCAAAAGAGGGACGAGGGGAAGAGAAUGAGGUGAGGGAAGGGAUUGUCG
rnacentral:misc_RNA from 1 species